GACGAACGCUGGCGGCGUGCUUAACACAUGCAAGUCGAACGCUGAAGCUCAGCUUUUGUUGGGUGGAUGAGUGGCGAACGGGUGAGUAACACGUGAGUAACCUGCCCCCUUCUUUGGGAUAACGCCCGGAAACGGGUGCUAAUACUGGAUAUUCACUGGUCUUCGCAUGGGGGUUGGUGGAAAGGGUUUUUCUGGUGGGGGAUGGGCUCGCGGCCUAUCAGCUUGUUGGUGGGGUGAUGGCCUACCAAGGCUUUGACGGGUAGCCGGCCUGAGAGGGUGACCGGUCACAUUGGGACUGAGAUACGGCCCAGACUCCUACGGGAGGCAGCAGUGGGGAAUAUUGCACAAUGGGCGCAAGCCUGAUGCAGCGACGCCGCGUAAGGGAUGGAGGCCUUCGGGUUGUGAACCUCUUUCGCUCAUGGUCAAGCCGCAACAAUGGUUGUGGUGAGGGUAGUGGGUAAAGAAGCGCCGGCUAACUACGUG
rnacentral:rRNA from 1 species